rnacentral:rRNA from 1 species
GGUUAAGCGACCAAGCGUACACGGUGGAUGCCCUGGCAGUCAGAGGCGAUGAAGGACGUGCUAAUCUGCGAUAAGCGCCGGUAAGGUGAUAUGAACCGUUAUAACCGGCGAUUUCCGAAUGGGGAAACCCAGUGUGAUUCGUCACACUAUCAUUAACUGAAUCCAUAGGUUAAUGAGGCGAACCGGGGGAACUGAAACAUCUAAGUACCCCGAGGAAAAGAAAUCAACCGAGAUUCCCCCAGUAGCGGCGAGCGAACGGGGAGGAGCCCAGAGCCUGAAUCAGCAUGUGUGUUAGUGGAAGCGUCUGGAAAGGCGCGCGAUACAGGGUGACAGCCCCGUACACAAAAGCGCAUGUGCUGUGAGCUCGAUGAGUAGGGCGGGACACGUGGUAUCCUGUCUGAAUAUGGGGGGACCAUCCUCCAAGGCUAAAUACUCCUGACUGACCGAUAGUGAACCAGUACCGUGAGGGAAAGGCGAAAAGAACCCCGGCGAGGGGAGUGAAACAGAACCUGAAACCGUGUACGUACAAGCAGUGGGAGCACAGGUUUACCUGUGUGACUGCGUACCUUUUGUAUAAUGGGUCAGCGACUUAUAUUCUGUAGCAAGGUUAACCGAAUAGGGGAGCCGAAGGGAAACCGAGUCUUAACCGGGCGUUAAGUUGCAGGGUAUAGACCCGAAACCCGGUGAUCUAGCCAUGGGCAGGUUGAAGGUUGGGUAACACUAACUGGAGGACCGAACCGACUAAUGUUGAAAAAUUAGCGGAUGACCUGUGGCUGGGGGUGAAAGGCCAAUCAAACCGGGAGAUAGCUGGUUCUCCCCGAAAGCUAUUUAGGUAGCGCCUCGUGAACUCAUCUCCGGGGGUAGAGCACUGUUUCGGCUAGGGGGCCAUCCCGGCUUACCAACCCGAUGCAAACUGCGAAUACCGGAGAAUGUUAUCACGGGAGACACACGGCGGGUGCUAACGUCCGUCGUGAAGAGGGAAACAACCCAGACCGCCAGCUAAGGUCCCAAAGUCAUGGUUAAGUGGGAAACGAUGUGGGAAGGCCCAGACAGCCAGGAUGUUGGCUUAGAAGCAGCCAUCAUUUAAAGAAAGCGUAAUAGCUCACUGGUCGAGUCGGCCUGCGCGGAAGAUGUAACGGGGCUAAACCAUGCACCGAAGCUGCGGCAGCGACACUGUGUGUUGUUGGGUAGGGGAGCGUUCUGUAAGCCGUUGAAGGUGUGUCGUGAGGCAUGCUGGAGGUAUCAGAAGUGCGAAUGCUGACAUAAGUAACGAUAAAGCGGGUGAAAAGCCCGCUCGCCGGAAGACCAAGGGUUCCUGUCCAACGUUAAUCGGGGCAGGGUGAGUCGACCCCUAAAGGCGAGGCCGAAAGGCGUAGUCGAUGGGAAACGGGUUAAUAUUCCCGUACUUGGUGUUACUGCGAAGGGGGGACGGAGAAGGCUAUGUUGGCCGGGCGACGGUUGUCCCGGUUUAAGCGUGUAGGUGUGUGUUCCAGGUAAAUCCGGUUCACUUUAACACUGAGGCGUGAUGACGAGGCACCACGGUGCUGAAGCAACAAAUGCCCUGCUUCCAGGAAAAGCCUCUAAGCAUCAGGUAACAUCAAAUCGUACCCCAAACCGACACAGGUGGUCAGGUAGAGAAUACCAAGGCGCUUGAGAGAACUCGGGUGAAGGAACUAGGCAAAAUGGUGCCGUAACUUCGGGAGAAGGCACGCUGACAUGUAGGUGAAGCGGUUUACCCGUGGAGCUGAAGUCAGUCGAAGAUACCAGCUGGCUGCAACUGUUUAUUAAAAACACAGCACUGUGCAAACACGAAAGUGGACGUAUACGGUGUGACGCCUGCCCGGUGCCGGAAGGUUAAUUGAUGGGGUCAGCGCAAGCGAAGCUCCUGAUCGAAGCCCCGGUAAACGGCGGCCGUAACUAUAACGGUCCUAAGGUAGCGAAAUUCCUUGUCGGGUAAGUUCCGACCUGCACGAAUGGCGUAAUGAUGGCCAGGCUGUCUCCACCCGAGACUCAGUGAAAUUGAACUCGCUGUGAAGAUGCAGUGUACCCGCGGCAAGACGGAAAGACCCCGUGAACCUUUACUAUAGCUUGACACUGAACAUUGAGCCUUGAUGUGUAGGAUAGGUGGGAGGCUUUGAAGCGUGGACGCCAGUCUGCGUGGAGCCGACCUUGAAAUACCACCCUUUAAUGUUUGAUGUUCUAACGUGGACCCGUGAUCCGGGUUGCGGACAGUGUCUGGUGGGUAGUUUGACUGGGGCGGUCUCCUCCUAAAGAGUAACGGAGGAGCACGAAGGUUGGCUAAUCCUGGUCGGACAUCAGGAGGUUAGUGCAAUGGCAUAAGCCAGCUUGACUGCGAGCGUGACGGCGCGAGCAGGUGCGAAAGCAGGUCAUAGUGAUCCGGUGGUUCUGAAUGGAAGGGCCAUCGCUCAACGGAUAAAAGGUACUCCGGGGAUAACAGGCUGAUACCGCCCAAGAGUUCAUAUCGACGGCGGUGUUUGGCACCUCGAUGUCGGCUCAUCACAUCCUGGGGCUGAAGUAGGUCCCAAGGGUAUGGCUGUUCGCCAUUUAAAGUGGUACGCGAGCUGGGUUUAGAACGUCGUGAGACAGUUCGGUCCCUAUCUGCCGUGGGCGCUGGAAGAUUGAGGGGGGCUGCUCCUAGUACGAGAGGACCGGAGUGGACGCAUCACUGGUGUUCGGGUUGUCAUGCCAAUGGCACUGCCCGGUAGCUAAAUGCGGAAGAGAUAAGUGCUGAAAGCAUCUAAGCACGAAACUUGCCCCGAGAUGAGUCUUCCCUGAGACUUAGAGUCUCCUGAAGGAACGUUAAAGACGAUGACGUUGAUAGGCCGGGUGUGUAAGCGCAGCGAUGCGUUGAGCUAACCGGUACUAAUGAACCGUGAGGCUUAACCUU